UGUAGCUUAUUAUACCCCCGCUUUAAAAAAGGGGGGGUAUACUGUUUUACCUCUGUCUGUCCGUCCGUCAGUCCGUCCGUCAGUCCGUCAGUCCGUCCGUCAGUCAGUCCAUCCCAUGAAACUUUCGUCACAUUUUUCUCAGGAACUACACAUCCACCCUUUCUGUAAUUUGGUAUCAACAUUUAUAUAUGUCAGCCAUACCGUGUGAUGCGUUUUCAGAUUCAUCACUUGACAACUUCCUGUUUACCGAACACUUGUCUGAUUUUACACAUGAUAGCCAAGUUGAAAAUUUUCGUCACAUUUUUCUCAGGAACUACAAUACAAGGAUUUCUGAAAUUUGGUUUCAGGAUUUAUAUAAGUCAGCUAUACCGUGUGAUGCAUUUUCAGAUUCAUCACUCGACAACUUCCUGUUUACCGAACACUUGCAUAUUUUUACACUAUUAAUAUUAUCCACUUGCGGCGGGAGUAUCAUCAGUGAGCAGUAGCUCGCAGUUUCACUUGUUGUAUCUG
rnacentral:lncRNA from 1 species